UCUGGCCUAAUACUGACGCUGAGGUACGAAAGCAUGGGGAGCAAACAGGAUCUAGAUACCUGGUAGUCCAUGCCGUAAACGAUGUCUACUAGCCGUUGGGGCCUUUGAGGCUGUUAGUGGCGCAGCUAACGCGAUAAGUAGACCGCCUGGGGAGUACGGUCGCAAGACUAAAAUAGAAAUGAAUUGACGGGGGCCCGCACAAGCGGUGGAGCAUGUGGUUAAUUCGAUGCAACGCGAAGAACCUUACCUGGCCUUGACAUACUAAGAACUUUCCAGAGAUGGAUUGGUGCCUUCGGGAACUUAGAUACAGUGCUGCAUGGCUGUCGUCAGUAGGUGUCGUGAGAUGUUGGGUUAAGUCCCGCAACGAGCGCAACCCUUUUCCUUAUUUGCCAGCGGGUCAUGCCGGGAACUUUAAGGAUACUGCCAGUGACAAACUGGAGGAAGGCGGGGACGACGUCAAGUCAUCAUGCGCCCUUACGGCCAGGGCUACACACGUGCUACAAUGGUCGGUACAAAGGGUUGCUACUAGGCGAGAGGAUGCUAAUCUCAAAAAGCCGAUCGUAGUCCGGAUCGCAGUCAGCAACUCGACUGCGUGAAGUCGGAAUCGCUAGUAAUCGCGGAUCAGAAUGCCGCGGUGAAUACGUUCCCGGGCCUUGUACACACCGCCCGUCACACCAUGGGAGUUUGUUGCACCAGAAGUAGGUAGUCUAACCGCAAGGAGGACGCUUACCACGGUGUGGCCGAUGACUGGGGU
rnacentral:rRNA from 1 species